rnacentral:rRNA from 1 species
AUGGCGUCGACGACGGCGUACGCGCGGCCGUCCAAGCUGCCGGGUGCGGGCCCGGGGGAGCGGAGGCCGGCGCCGCCGCGGCUCAUCAGGGCCUUCCUCGCCUCCGGCGCCAAGAUCGAGCCCCGGAAGCUCGCCGCCGGCCUGCUCGCCGGCUGCUGCCUCGCGCUCCUCACCUACGUCUCCCUCGCCAAGCUCUACGCCGUCUACUCCCCCGUCUUCGCCACCACCUCGGCCCUGCUCCAGAACGCCCCGCCGUCGUCCUCCUCGGCGCCGGGGGCGGUGGCCGCCCCGCGUCCGCCCGAAGAACCCGCAUUUACUGGCGGCAACAACGGCGGCGCCGUGGAUCGCGUCGAUCUGACGGAGAAGGGCCCGGGGACGGCGGGCUCUCGAGAGCCCGGGGUGCCGGAGGCGGUCUCAAGGAAGGAACACGCCGAGAAGGCGCCGGCGCCGGCCAACACCUCGGCGCCAAUGCCAUCUCAGGGAGAAAGGAAGAGCAACAGCAGCAGCAAUGUCGCCGCCGGUCCGAUGAGCUGCGACGAAAAUGGCGUGGACGAGGGGUUCCCCUACGCGCGGCCGGCGGUCUGCGAGCUGUCCGGCGACAUCCGUGUCAGCCCCAGCCAGAAGACCAUGUACCUCGUCAACCCGUCCGGCGGCGGCGGCUUCGACGAGAAGGGCGAGAAGCGGCUACGGCCGUACGCCCGGAACGACGACUUCCUCCUGCCUGCCGUGGUGGAGGUGACUGUCAAGUCUGUCUCCUCCCCUGAGGCUGCCCCACAGUGCACGAGGCAGCAUCGCGUCCCCGCGGUCGUGUUCUCCGUCGCAGGGUACACGGACAACUUCUUCCACGACAACACGGACGCGCUGAUCCCGUUGUUCCUCACGACGGCGCACCUGAAAGGCGAGGUGCAGCUGCUGAUCACCAACUACAAGCCGUGGUGGGUGCAAAAGUACACGCCGCUGCUGCGCAAGCUCUCCAACUACGACGUGAUCAACUUCGACGCCGACGCCGACGUGCACUGCUUCUCCCGCGGGUACCUCGGCCUGUACCGCGACCGCGACCUCAUCAUCGCCCCUCACCCGACCCGCAACCCGCGCAACUACACCAUGGUGGACUACACGCGCUUCCUCCGAGCCGCGUACGGGCUCCGCCGCGACCAGCCGGCAGUGCUCGGGGCGGAGCCCGGAAUGCAGCCCCGGAUGCUGAUCAUCUCGCGCGCCGGCACGCGCAAGCUGCUGAACCAGGACGAGGUGGCCGCCGCCGCGUCGGAGCUCGGGUUCAACGUGACCGUGGCCGAGGCCGGCGACGACGUGCCGGCGUUCGCGGCCCUGGUGAACUCCGCCGACGUCCUUCUGGCCGUGCACGGUGCCGGGCUGACCAACCAGAUCUUCCUGCCGACCAACGGGGUGGUGCUGCAGAUCGUGCCGUGGGGGAACAUGGACUGGAUGGCGACCAACUUCUACGGGCAGCCGGCGCGGGACAUGCAGCUCCGGUACGUGGAGUACUACAUCGACGAGGAGGAGACGAGCCUCAAGGACAAGUACCCCAGGGAUCACGUGGUGUUCAAGGACCCCAAGGCCCUCCACAAGCAGGGGUGGCAGGCGCUCGCCGACACCAUCAUGAAGCAGGACGUCAAGGUGAACAUGACCAGGUUCCAGCCCUUCUUGCUCCAGGCCAUGGACGAGCUACAGGAGUAG